rnacentral:rRNA from 1 species
UACGUAGGGGGCAAGCGUUGUCCGGAUUUAUUGGGCGUAAAGAGCGUGUAGGCGGCCAGGUAGGUCCGUUGUGAAAACUGGAGGCUUAACCUCCAGCGGUCGAUGGAAACCAUCUGGCUAGAGUCCGGAAGAGGAGAGUGGAAUUCCCGGUGUGAGCGGUGAAAUGACGCAGAUAUCGGGAGGAACACCAAUGGCGAAGGCAGCUCGCUGGGACGUGACUGACGCUGAGACGACGAAAGCGUGGGAGCAAACAGG